UGAAGGUCCAGAAGAACUUGAUGUACUUACCUGCUACGUUCUGCAAGUUUCUAAACAGUGUCUCAAGGGCACUGCUUGGCUCAGAGGGCACCUCUUCUACAGGCCUGGCAUGACCAGAAUCAGAAUCGGAACUCUGCUUAUCAUCGUCUUCAGCCUCGUCCUCAGAAUCCAUGAGAAGGGGCCGGUGGCCAAAAUUCUCAGCACACCAAGGAAGGAACUCUAUGAUGUUUGAAUUCCAUCUCACCCUCUAACAAUAUUUGGCUUCUUUGCAAACUGAUCUAUAAACCAUCAAGUAAGGGACCCAGAGCAACUUACAGUGUCCUCCUCUCCUACAUUUUGUCUUCACAAGCCUAGAAGAUAGGUUAAGCUGCAGUACAUCCAGAAUGACAAGUUCCAACGUGUACUCCAAGGAGCACAGAGGCUUUCCAUUCUACCAAAGGAAAAUGAUCAGCAUGCAAUGGAAAAAAACUGGAUGCUCAUGGUGUUUUUCUCUGCCUAUAUGAUAUAAGAGAAGAAGAAAGGCUCUGGAGCACUGCCACUGUGUUCCAGAAACUAAGGCCUAAAACAACUUCUCAGGGAAAAGCAUUUUAAAUGUAUAUAGUAAACAUAUUCAAGAGAAGCCAUAACCCAAAAGUGUUAUAAA